rnacentral:SRP_RNA from 1 species
ACAGAAACGACCGAAUUGCCCUUUGCCAGCUCCGUUGGUUUGGUCUUGGGUCCUGCGCAAUGAGGAUCUGUGAACCUCGUCAGGUCCGGAAGGAAGCAGCGAUAAGCGGAGCCCCUUAUGUGCCGCAGAGCAGCCUUUGCCGCUGCCGGCGGGGCUGGCAAAGGGCAAUUUUCUGU